UCCGUAGGCAGCGAGCGUUGUUCGGAGUUACUGGGCGUAAAGCGUGCGUAGGCGGUGUCUUAAGUUUGUUGUGAAAUCUCCCGGCUUAACCGGGAGGGUGCGGCGAAUACUGAGAUGCUGGAGUGCCGGAGAGGUAAGCGGAAUUCCUGGUGUAGCGGUGAAAUGCGUAGAUAUCAGGAGGAACACCUGCGGUGUAGACGGCUUACUGGACGGUAACUGACGCUGAGGCACGAAAGCGUGGGUAGCAAACAGG
rnacentral:rRNA from 1 species